UACGUAGGGAGCAAGCGUUGUCCGGAAUAAUUGGGAGUAAAGAGUGCGUAGGUGGCUAUAUAAGUAAGUUGUGAAAGUCAAAGGCUCAACCUUUGAAAGCCGAUGGAUACUGUAGAGCUAGAGUCUGGAAGAGGCGAGUGGAAUUCCUGGUGUAGCGGUGGAAUGCGCAGAUAUCAGGAGGAACACCAAUAGCGAAGGCAGCUCGCUGGGACAUGACUGACACUAAGGCGCGAAAGCGUGGGGAGCGAACAGG
rnacentral:rRNA from 1 species